rnacentral:rRNA from 1 species
GAUGAACGCUGGCGGCGUGCCUAAUACAUGCAAGUCGAGCGAAUGGAUUAAGAGCUUGCUCUUAUGAAGUUAGCGGCGGACGGGUGAGUAACACGUGGGUAACCUGCCCAUAAGACUGGGAUAACUCCGGGAAACCGGGGCUAAUACCGGAUAACAUUUUGAACCGCAUGGUUCGAAAUUGAAAGGCGGCUUCGGCUGUCACUUAUGGAUGGACCCGCGUCGCAUUAGCUAGUUGGUGAGGUAACGGCUCACCAAGGCAACGAUGCGUAGCCGGCCGGGGAGGUGGAGCGGCGGCACGGGGAGGGGGAGACGGCCCAGACUCCUACGGGGGGCAGCAGUAUGGAAUCUGCCGCAAGGGACGAAAGUCUGACGGAGCAACGCCGCGUGGGUUAUGAAGGCUUUCGGGUCGGAAAACUCUGUUGUUAGGGAAGAACAAGUGCUAGUUGAAUAAGCUGGCACCUUGACGGUACCUAACCAGAAAGCCACGGCUAACUACGUGCCAGCCGCCGCAGUAA